AGAGUUUGAUCCUGGCUCAGGAUGAACGCUGGCGGCGUGCCUAAUACAUGCAAGUCGAACGCUUCACAUCGGUGAAGAGUGGCGAACGGGUGAGUAAUACAUAAGUAACCUGGCAUCUACAGGGGGAUAACUGAUGGAAACGUCAGCUAAGACCGCAUAGGUGUAGAGAUCGCAUGAACUCUAUAUGAAAAGUGCUACGGGACUGGUAGAUGAUGGACUUAUGGCGCAUUAGCUUGUUGGUAGGGUAACGGCCUACCAAGGCGACGAUGCGUAGCCGACCUGAGAGGGUGACCGGCCACACUGGGACUGAGACACGGCCCAGACUCCUACGGGAGGCAGCAGUAGGGAAUUUUCGGCAAUGGGGGAAACCCUGACCGAGCAACGCCGCGUGAAGGAAGAAGUAAUUCGUUAUGUAAACUUCUGUCAUAGAGGAAGAACGGUGGAUAUAGGGAAUGAUAUCCAAGUGACGGUACUCUAUAAGAAAGCCACGGCUAACUACGUGCCAGCAGCCGCGGUAAUACGUAGGUGGCGAGCGUUAUCCGGAAUUAUUGGGCGUAAAGAGGGAGCAGGCGGCACUAAGGGUCUGUGGUGGAAGAUCGAAGCUUAACUUCGGUAAGCCAUGGAAACCGUAGAGCUAGAGUGUGUGAGAGGAUCGUGGAAUUCCAUGUGUAGCGGUGAAAUGCGUAGAUAUAUGGAGGAACACCAGUGGCGAAGGCGACGAUCCCGCAUAACUGACGCUCAGUCCCGAAAGCGUGGGGAGCAAAUAGGAUUAGAUACCCUAGUAGUCCACGCCGUAAACGAUGAGUACUAAGUGUUGGGGGUCAAACCUCAGUGCUGCAGUUAACGCAAUAAGUACUCCGCCUGAGUAGUACGUUCGCAAGAAUGAAACUCAAAGGAAUUGACGGGGGCCCGCACAAGCGGUGGAGCAUGUGGUUUAAUUCGAAGCAACGCGAAGAACCUUACCAGGUCUUGACAUCGAUCUAAAGGCUCCAGAGAUGGAGAGAUAGCUAUAGAGAAGACAGGUGGUGCAUGGUUGUCGUCAGCUCGUGUCGUGAGAUGUUGGGUUAAGUCCCGCAACGAGCGCAACCCCUGUUGCCAGUUGCCAGCAUUAAGUUGGGGACUCUGGCGAGACUGCCGGUGACAAGCCGGAGGAAGGCGGGGAUGACGUCAAAUCAUCAUGCCCCUUAUGACCUGGGCUACACACGUGCUACAAUGGACAGAGCAGAGGGAAGCGAAGCCGCGAGGUGGAGCGAAACCCAUAAAACUGUUCUCAGUUCGGACUGCAGUCUGCAACUCGACUGCACGAAGAUGGAAUCGCUAGUAAUCGCGAAUCAGCAUGUCGCGGUGAAUACGUUCUCGGGCCUUGUACACACCGCCCGUCACACCAUGAGAGUCGGUAACACCCGAAGCCGGUGGCCUAACCGCAAGGAAGGAGCUGUCUAAGGUGGGACUGAUGAUUGGGGUGAAGUCGAAACAAGGUA
rnacentral:rRNA from 1 species